rnacentral:sRNA from 1 species
AACCGUUGCAAUGUGGAUGAUGCUG